GAUGAAGAACGCAGCGAAAUGCGAUAAGUAGUGUGAAUUGCAGAAUUCAGUGAAUCAUCGAAUCUUUGAACGCACAUUGCGCCCCGUGGUAUUCCAUGGGGCAUGCCUGUUCGAGCGUCAUUUGUACCUUCAAGCUUUGCUUGGUGUUGGGUGUUUGUCCUGAGGGACUCGCCUUAAAGUAAUUGGCAGCCAGUGUUUGGUUUUGAAGCGCAGCACAAGUCGCGAUUCAAGGCCAUACACCAGCUUCCACAAGCCUUUUUCACUUUUGACCUCGGAUCAGGUAGGGAUACCCGCUGAACUUAAGCAUAUCAAUAAGCGGAGGA
rnacentral:misc_RNA from 1 species